CCUACGGGUGGCAGCAGUGAGGAAUAUUGGUCAAUGGGCGGGAGCCUGAACCAGCCAAGUCGCGUGAGGGAAGACGGUCCUAUGGAUUGUAAACCUCUUUAGGCGGGGAGCAAUGCCGGGCACGUGUGCCCGGAGGGAGAGUACCCGCAGAAUAAGCAUCGGCUAACUCCGUGCAAGCAGCCGCGGUAAUACGGAGGAUGCGAGCGUUAUCCGGAUUUAUUGGGUUUAAAGGUUGCGUAGGCGGAUUUUUAAGUCAGCGGUAAAAGGUCCGGGCUCAACCCGGGCGGGCCGUUGAAACUGGGGAUCUUGAGUGGGCGAGAAGUAUGCGGAAUGCGUGGUGUAGCGGUGAAAUGCAUAGAUAUCACGCAGAACUCCGAUUGCGAAGGCAGCAUACCGGCGCCCGACUGACGCUGAGGCACGAAAGCGUGGGGAUCGAACAGGAUUAGAUACCCUUGUAGUC
rnacentral:rRNA from 1 species